UCGAGAAUCAUUCGCAAUGGGCGAAAGCCUGACGAUGCGACGCUGCGUGAGUGAUGAAGGCCUUCGGGUCGUAAAGCUCUUUCGCCAGAGAACAAGAGAUGCCGGCUAAUAACCGGCAAAUUUGAGGGUACCUGGUAAAGAAGCACCGGCUAACUCCGUGCCAGCAGCUGCGGUAAUACGGAGGGUGCAAGCGUUAAUCGGAUUUAUUGGGCGUAAAGGGGGCGUAGGCGGAAAAGCAAGCCAGAUGUGAAAGCCCGGGGCUCAACCCCGGAACGGCAUUUGGAACUACUUUCCUUGAGGAUAGGCGGAGAAAACGGAAUUCCACAAGUAGCGGUGAAAUGCGUAGAUAUGUGGAAGAACACCGGUGGCGAAAGCGGUUUUCUAGCUUAUUCCUGACGCUAAGGCCCGAAAGCUAGGGGAGCAAACA
rnacentral:rRNA from 1 species